rnacentral:rRNA from 1 species
UACGUAGGGCGCAAGCGUUGUCCGGAAUUAUUGGGCGUAAAGAGCUCGUAGGCGGCCUGUCGCGUCUGCUGUGAAAUCCCGGGGCUUAACCCCGGGCGUGCAGUGGAUACGGGCUGGCUGGAGGCAGGCAGGGGAGAACGGAAUUCCCGGUGUAGCGGUGAAAUGCGUAGAUAUGCGGAGGAACACCGAUGGCGAAGGCAAUCCCCUGGACCUGUACUGACGCUCAUGCACGAAAGCGUGGGGAGCAAACAGG